UACGUAGGGUGCAAGCGUUAAUCGGAAUUACUGGGCGUAAAGCGUGCGCAGGCGGCUAUGCAAGACAGAUGUGAAAUCCCGGGCUCAACCUGGGAACUGCAUUUGUGACUGCAUAGCUAGAGUACGGUAGAGGGGAUGGAAUUCCGCGUGUAGCAGUGAAAUGCGUAGAUAUGCGGAGGAACACCGAUGGCGAAGGCAAUCCCCUGGACCUGGUACUGACGCUCAUGCACGAAAGGCGUGGGGAGCAAACAGG
rnacentral:rRNA from 1 species